rnacentral:misc_RNA from 1 species
GAUGAAGAACGUAGCGGAAUGCGAUACUUGGUGUGAAUUGCAGAAUCCCGUGAACCAUCGAGUCUUUGAACGCAAGUUGCGCCUCAAGCCAUUAGGUUGAGGGCACGUCUGCCUGGGCGUCACAUAUCGUUGCCUGAUGCCAGUUUCCUCGUGAUGGGUGACUGUGCAGGGCGAAUGAUGGCUUCCCGUGAGCAUUGUUGCCUCAUGGUUGGUUGAAAAUUGAGUCCUUGGUAGGGAGCGCCGUGAUAGAUGGUGGUUGAGUGACGAACGAGACCCAAUCAUGUGAGACCCCUACCGAAUUUGGCCUUCAUGACCCACAUGCGUCUUUGGAACGCUCAUGACGAGACCUCAGGUCAGGCGGGGCUACCCGCUGAGUUUAAGCAUAUCAAUAAGCGGAGGA